rnacentral:rRNA from 1 species
GAUGAACGCUGGCGGCGUGCCUAAUACAUGCAAGUCGAGCGAACAGACGAGGAGCUUGCUCCUCUGACGUUAGCGGCGGACGGGUGAGUAACACGUGGAUAACCUACCUAUAAGACUGGGAUAACUUCGGGAAACCGGAGCUAAUACCGGAUAAUAUAUUGAACCGCAUGGUUCAAUAGUGAAAGACGGUUUUGCUGUCACUUAUAGAUGGAUCCGCGCCGCAUUAGCUAGUUGGUAAGGUAACGGCUUACCAAGGCAACGAUGCGUAGCCGACCUGAGAGGGUGAUCGGCCACACGGGAGCGGAGACACGGUCCAGACGACUGCGGGAGGCAGCAGUAGGGAAUCGUACGCAAUGGGCGAAAGCCUGACGGAGCAACGCCGCGUGAGUGAUGAAGGUCUUCGGAUCGUAAAACUCUGUUAUUAGGGAAGAACAAAUGUGUAAGUAACUAUGCACGUCUUGACGGUACCUAAUCAGAAAGCCACGGCUAACUACGUG